UCCGAAGGGGGCUAGCGUUGCUCGGAAUCACUGGGCGUAAAGCGCACGUAGGCGGACUCUUAAGUCGGUGGUGAAAUCCUGGAGCUCAACUCCAGAACUGCCUUCGAUACUGAGAGUCUCGAGUCCGAGAGAGGUGAGUGGAACUGCGAGUGUAGAGGUGAAAUUCGUAGAUAUUCGCAAGAACACCAGUGGCGAAGGCGGCUCACUGGCUCGGUACUGACGCUGAGGUGCGAAAGCGUGGGGAGCAAACAGG
rnacentral:rRNA from 1 species